CAGAGUACUAGUAUAAAUACUCUUUCUGCCCAAUAGGGAAUUAUCUCCGCUAGCAGAAGUUUUAAUAAGUCAACUACUACGUACAGUACCAACAGUGUGGACAUCAAGAUGAGGUUUUGGCUUGUUGCAACAUUCCUCUUGUUGUUUGUUGUUCAAGAGUCUCUUGAACUUGACUGUAAAACUAAUGCAGAUUGUGUGCAUAGAAAUUACUGCUUCGGCUGCCCCAGCCAACAUGUGGAGCCCACUUGUCUGGUAACAACCCAAGGGCAGUGUCAUUGUGUCUACUGUAACCGAUAAAUCACAAUUUGGCCAGUUUCACUUUCAAGCAUAAAGCCUAGGUUACAUUUGCCAUGGGAUGUCCACAUGACGCUCCUAUACUGCCCGUAAAUCCAUUUUUCUAUGGUGUCUGAGCAGAGGCAGCCCUGCGAAAUUUGUAUGGUUUUUUUCUCCCACUUUUGGUUGUUUUAUGUGGCAUAACAAUAUUAAAGAAGUUUAGUUUAAAACUUAGUGUAAUUCACUUGCACGAAUUUGAAGUUGAGCAUUUUCUCAUUCUGACCACAUGGGUGCUAAAAAUUGUAGAGAUCUGCAUCAACAGCAUAUUUGGCCUCAAGGAAACCACAUGGAAGGUGUACAGCAACUGCAAUUAUCACGUAUAAAUUGUAUAUGAUUUUAUCUUAUGGCAGCUGUGGCAUAUGUAAUUUAGGUUUAACAGAUGAUUCAUAUUUCGUGACACUGCAAAUUUGAAAUAUCUGUAAAAAAAAAACCUGGAAGAAAGAAAUUAAAAAAUACCCAAAAAUGUAAUUAAUUUCAAUCAGUUUCUCUUCUUUUCCUGACUCAUUGUAUGCAUUUUAUAUAACUACAAACGCCAUGAUA